rnacentral:rRNA from 1 species
UAAGGAAUAUUGGACAAUGCCCGCAAGGGUGAUCCAGCCAUGCCGCGUGCAGGAAGACGGCCCUAUGGGUUGUAAACUGCUUUUACACCGGAGAAAACCUCCCCUCGUGAGGGGAGCUGAUAGUAUGGUAAGAAUAAGCAUCGGCUAACUUCGUGCCAGCAGCCGCGGUAAGACGAAGGAUGCAAGCGUUAUCCGGAUUCAUUGGGUUUAAAGGGAGCGUAGGUGGCCUUAUAAGUCAGUGGUGAAAUCUCUCAGCUUAACCCAGAAAUUGCCAUUGAUACUGUAGGACUUGAGUAUAGUUGCCGUUGGCGGAAUAUGACAUGUAGUGGUGAAAUACAUAGAGAUGUCAUAGAACACCGAUUGCGAAGGCAGCUGACGAAACUAUAACUGACACUGAGGCUCGAAAGUGCGGGGAUCAAACAGGAUUAGAUACCCCCGUAGUCC